rnacentral:rRNA from 1 species
UUUAUGGAGAGUUUGAUCCUGGCUCAGAGUGAACGCUGGCGGCGUGCCUAAUACAUGCAAGUCGAACGAUGAAGCUUCUAGCUUGCUAGAGUGCUGAUUAGUGGCGCACGGGUGAGUAACGCAUAGGUCAUGUGCCUCUUAGUUUGGGAUAGCCAUUGGAAACGAUGAUUAAUACCAGAUACUCCCUACGGGGGAAAGAUUUAUCGCUAAGAGAUCAGCCUAUGUCCUAUCAGCUUGUUGGUAAGGUAAUGGCUUACCAAGGCUAUGACGGGUAUCCGGCCUGAGAGGGUGAACGGACACACUGGAACUGAGACACGGUCCAGACUCCUACGGGAGGCAGCAGUAGGGAAUAUUGCUCAAUGGGGGAAACCCUGAAGCAGCAACGCCGCGUGGAGGAUGAAGGUUUUAGGAUUGUAAACUCCUUUUGUUAGAGAAGAUAAUGACGGUAUCUAACGAAUAAGCACCGGCUAACUCCGUGCCAGCAGCCGCGGUAAUACGGAGGGUGCAAGCGUUACUCGGAAUCACUGGGCGUAAAGAGCGCGUAGGCGGGAUAGUCAGUCAGGUGUGAAAUCCUAUGGCUUAACCAUAGAACUGCAUUUGAAACUACUAUUCUAGAGUGUGGGAGAGGUAGGUGGAAUUCUUGGUGUAGGGGUAAAAUCCGUAGAGAUCAAGAGGAAUACUCAUUGCGAAGGCGACCUGCUGGAACAUUACUGACGCUGAUUGCGCGAAAGCGUGGGGAGCAAACAGGAUUAGAUACCCUGGUAGUCCACGCCCUAAACGAUGGAUGCUAGUUGUUGGAGGGCUUAGUCUCUCCAGUAAUGCAGCUAACGCAUUAAGCAUCCCGCCUGGGGAGUACGGUCGCAAGAUUAAAACUCAAAGGAAUAGACGGGGACCCGCACAAGCGGUGGAGCAUGUGGUUUAAUUCGAAGAUACACGAAGAACCUUACCUAGGCUUGACAUUGAGAGAAUCCGCUAGAAAUAGUGGAGUGUCUAGCUUGCUAGACCUUGAAAACAGGUGCUGCACGGCUGUCGUCAGCUCGUGUCGUGAGAUGUUGGGUUAAGUCCCGCAACGAGCGCAACCCCCUUUCUUAGUUGCUAACAGGUUAUGCUGAGAACUCUAAGGAUACUGCCUCCGUAAGGAGGAGGAAGGUGGGGACGACGUCAAGUCAUCAUGGCCCUUACGCCUAGGGCUACACACGUGCUACAAUGGGGUGCACAAAGAGAAGCAAUACUGUGAAGUGGAGCCAAUCUUCAAAACACCUCUCAGUUCGGAUUGUAGGCUGCAACUCGCCUGCAUGAAGCUGGAAUCGCUAGUAAUCGCAAAUCAGCCAUGUUGCGGUGAAUACGUUCCCGGGUCUUGUACUCACCGCCCGUCACACCAUGGGAGUUGUGUUUGCCUUAAGUCAGGAUGCUAAAUUGGCUACUGCCCACGGCACACACAGCGACUGGGGUGAAGUCGUAACAAGGUAACCGUAGGUGAACCUGCGGCU